rnacentral:rRNA from 1 species
GACGAACGCUGGCGGCGUGCUUAACACAUGCAAGUCGAACGGAAAGGCCCUUCUUUUGUGGUGUUCUCGAGUGGCGAACGGGUGAGUAACACGUGGGUAACCUUCCCGUGACUUUGGGAUAACUUCAGGAAACUGGGUCUAAUACCGGAUAGGAGCUCCUGCUGCAUGGUGGGGGUUGGAAAGUUUCGGCGGUUGGGGAUGGACUCGCGGCUUAUCAGCUUGUUGGUGGGGUAGUGGCUUACCAAGGCUUUGACGGGUAGCCGGCCUGAGAGGGUGACCGGCCACAUUGGGACUGAGAUACGGACCAGACGGCUACGGGAGGCAGCAGUGGGGAAUAUUGCCCAAUGGGCGGAAGCCUGAUGAAGAAACGUCGCGUGCGGGAUGAAGGCCUUCGGGUUGUAAAACGCUUUCGCCUGUGACGAAGCGUGAGUGACGGUAAUGGGUAAAGAAGCACCGGCUAACUACGUG